CGAAGGAUUCCUUGCUCCCACUUUUGUGUGGGAGUAUGAUUAACCUACAGUAAAAUAAUUACAAAAUUUUCAGAUUCAGUUUCACAUUCAACGAAGAAGAGAGGUCUGCUAGGGUAACGCCAUUUUCUCAUCUUCUUCUCUCUUCUCUCUGGUUCGCCUACCCUCGCCGCCACAACACGCAUCGUCCGCCGCCCCUCCCUGCGUCCGCCGCCAAGAGAGAUCUGCUAGGGUAACGCCAUUUUCUGAUCUUCUUCUCUCUGGUUC